rnacentral:rRNA from 1 species
GAUGAACGCUGGCGGCGUGCCUAAUACAUGCAAGUCGAGCGAACAGACGAGGAGCUUGCUCCUCUGACGUUAGCGGCGGACGGGUGAGUAACACGUGGAUAACCUACCUAUAAGACUGGGAUAACUUCGGGAAACCGGAGCUAAUACCGGAUAAUAUAUUGAACCGCAUGGUUCAAUAGUGAAAGACGGUUUUGCUGUCACUUAUAGAUGGAUCCGCGCCGCAUUAGCUAGUUGGUAAGGUAACGGCUUACCAAGGUAACGAUGCGUAGCCGACCUGAGAGGGUGAUCGGCCACACUGGACCUGAGACACGGUCCAGACUCCUACGGGAGGCAGCAGUAGGGAAUCUUCCGCAGUGGUCGAAAGCCUGACGGAGCAACGCCGCGUGAGUGAUGAAGGUCUUCGGAUCGUAAAACUCUGUUAUUAGGGAAGAACAAAUGUGUAAGUAACUAUGCACGUCUGGACGGUACCUAAUCAGAAAGCCACGGCUAACUACGU